UAUGUCCUACGGGAGGCAGCAGUGGGGGAUAUUGCACAAUGGGGGAAACCCUGAUGCAGCGACGCCGCGUGAGUGAAGAAGUAUUUCGGUACGUAAAGCUCUAUCAGCAGGGAAGAAAAAUGACGGUACCUGACUAAGAAGCCCCGGCUAACUACGUGCUAGCAGCCGCGGUAAUACGUAGGGGGCAAGCGUUAUCCGGAAUUACUGGGGGUAAAGGGAGCGUAGACGGCAAUGCAAGUCCGGAGUGGAAUGCGGCAGCUCAACUGCCGAACUGCUCUGGAAACUGUAUGGCUUGAGCGC
rnacentral:rRNA from 1 species